UUUUAUUACCCUCUUUUAUUAUCUUCUAUUUAAUAUAUCUCUUUCAUUUAAAUCAUCAUUCUGAACAUACCUCGUAUAUUCAUACUCUCCAAAUAUCUGUAUUUUCAAUACGGAACAUGCCGCUACUUCAUAGUACUUGGUUGUCAUUUUAAACGUCGUUUUCAAUGACAGUGUCACUUCAUCGACUUGACCCCCUACUCCCUGACAUACACUGGAAGGGAAAAAUUAAUCCUUAAAAAGGCAUGUAAUUCGAAAAAUAAAUCAUUUCUAUUUCAACAAAUCAUCUUCCUCUUGGGUUUUUUGGAAAGAAACCACUUUUCUCCCUCCGGGAGUUUCAACAACCCUCAAAUCGCCGGCGAUACAACAACGAGGACCAUGACAUCCAGACUGCACAACCACCACCUCUAGCUGCAGGGGCCUUGGGCCGAAGAUCCGCCCAGGCCUACGAGAAGUCUACAACAGCAGUACCAUACGACAUCAAGAAGAUACCAUCAGCUACCAAAAGCCAUAAGUAUAAUCCAGAAUUGUUAGUUUUUGGCAAGAAUUUAAAUACAUUUGUUAAUGCAAUUUACUAAGUCAUUUUAUUUAUUAUAUCUUUAUGAACAAUAAACAUGAUUAGUUAAAAACUA